rnacentral:rRNA from 1 species
GAAUUCCAGGUGUAGCGGUGAAAUGCGUAGAGAUCUGGAGGAAUACCGGUGGCGAAGGCGGCCCCCUGGACGAAGACUGACGCUCAGGUGCGAAAGCGUGGGGAGCAAACAGGAUUAGAUACCCUGGUAGUCCACGCCGUAAACGAUGUCGACUUGGAGGUUGUGCCCUUGAGGCGUGGCUUCCGGAGCUAACGCGUUAAGUCGACCGCCUGGGGAGUACGGCCGCAAGGUUAAAACUCAAAUGAAUUGACGGGGGCCCGCACAAGCGGUGGAGCAUGUGGUUUAAUUCGAUGCAACGCGAAGAACCUUACCUGGUCUUGACAUCCACGGAAGUUUUCAGAGAUGAGAAUGUGCCUUCGGGAACCGUGAGACAGGUGCUGCAUGGCUGUCGUCAGCUCGUGUUGUGAAAUGUUGGGUUAAGUCCCGCAACGAGCGCAACCCUUAUCCUUUGUUGCCAGCGGUCCGGCCGGGAACUCAAAGGAGACUGCCAGUGAUAAACUGGAGGAAGGUGGGGAUGACGUCA